ACUCAACUGACGAGUCCCAGAUAGGACGAAACACACGUCAAACUGGAU
rnacentral:hammerhead_ribozyme from 1 species